GCUCGAUUAGCUCAGUAGGUUAGAGCGCACGCCUAAUAAGCAUGAGUAAGCGUGAGGUCAUGAGUUCGAUCCUCAUAUUGAGUA